CUUUCCCAAUACCAGGUGUGCUGGCUUUGGCUGGGCUGGACCUAAUUCUCUUCACAGAGGCUGGUGUUUUUGCGGCUCCAUGAGUAGCAUCUGUCUGAGGGAGUGAUACCAGACUGCCAUUGGCUUCCACUGCACCCUGGUUUUGAGAAUAGUAAUGAGAGCAACCAAGAUAGAAACCAAGUCCUGUCAGCUCAUCUAAUCCAGUUCCUUGGCAGUGAUGCAGGCCAGCUUUCUGCACGGCAUUCCUGCAUGGCUGCCUCUGCCAGACGUUCCCGUCUGGGCUGCUGCGCUCCCAGUGCGGCUCGCGGAGCGAGUGCGGGGCCUGCUGAUGGAUCUGUGAACAGGCUGGCACGCAGGGCUGUCACACCCCGCUCUGACAGGGAAAAGCAUCCUACAUGAGUUCACUUGGGAAACGUCAUCCUCUAGUUCAGUGUCCCUUUUACAAAAAAGCCUGAGAGAGAAGGGAAGAGCUUUUUUUGGUUUGUUUUUAUAAAGUGUGUUCAGCUUGCUAAUACAGCAGGCAUGCAGAACAUAGCUACCCAACCAACUAUGAAACAAAUGCUAGAAUUAAUUGCUUAAAUCUCUUUGCAUUAGGGUAAAGCACAGGUUUUAAGAUGUCUUCGGUGAAGAAUUGCUGAAUAUGAGAAACAUCUACUACUGUCUUGUAGUAAAUUGAAAAGCAAGUUCAAGUGUAAGGAUUGGUUGGGUGAUAGCCAAAGGCAAGCAGCAGUCCUGCCUCUUGUUUUGUGAGACAAUCUGGUUUUAAGCUUUGUGGGUACAAGUUUGACCCAGCACAUUAAAUAAGCACAUUUAAUAAUGACUAUUUCUGUAAACCCAGGGUUUGUUCAAACCAGAUUCUUUGUACUACAAAAAAGAAUCCACAGAGAUACUUCUUACCCUGCAGCUGAUACAUGAGUGCCAAAAGUUUAAUUGCACCAAAGAGCAACAGACUGCAUCCUAAGGAAUUAUCACCUUUUCCAGCCCAUUCUCUAUUGGGCUGCUGUAAUGAUGAACUAAUGCUGCAUUUGCAUGGAUUCCCAAACCUGCACAGGUGUAGGAAUGGCCCUCCUUCACUUUCAGCCCUUCUCUGUCGGGCCAGGCAGCACCGCAGCACACGCGCAGCAACAUGAAGUCACUGACACGAUGAGCGGUGGAAAGCGUUUGUACCAGCCACAGAGGGGUGCAGGUGCUUGGCAGCAGCAGCACUUUGAUCCUGUUCACACCAGCAUGCCUCAAUUCUCACAUCUAGUGCUCUCCGUGGAGACACUCAGACAUGUUUUGCUUAAAUGAAGGCACUGCACCAUCUGAA